GGCUAGGCUGAUCUCGAACUCCUAACCUUAAAUGAUCUGCCCACCUCGGCCUCCCAAAGUGCUGGGAUGACAGGCAUGAGCCCCUGCACCUGGCUGGAGAUGAGACUUCUGUGUGUGGUGCUAAAAGAGUAAGUAAAAACAUCAGACACUACAUUGGACAUGCUACUAAGAGCUUAGUCAUCUCACCUAAGUUCUCAGACCAAAUCCCAUUUUCUUAGGAUUCCUUGGGCCCCCUCACAACCCCGGCCCCGCCCCACUCAUUUUGAAAGUUUGGACAUGACUCCGCCUUUCUGAGUUCCAGGCUACCCUUGUGUAAAUGGAUGGUUGGACUGGAUGAAAGCUCAGGUUCUUCUUGCCUUCUAAUGUUCUAAGAAUCGGACUUAUUUCACAGAGUUCUGUAUAAAUCCACUGACCAAGUUUUCUGAACCAAAAACAACAUGUCUGAUGAAGGAGCAGUCCUUUCACCUUGCCCUUUGAAUGGUUUUAGGUGUUUCUGAAAAACCCAAUCCACCCUCCAAGGUGGAAAGUGUGCCAUCUCUGCCCAUAAUCCAAAUGGUGUGCCUGAGGCAUAGAAAGCAGCUUUCAGGGAGGCCCUCCUUCCUCUGAGCAAUGGUGGCAUCAUCAGAAAAGUGGAGCUCCUCCAAAAGAAUCUGCUGGAAGCAGAGGACGCCCAUGUGCUGCAGCGCCUCUGCUGGGCUUUGCCACUGCCCCGUGUUUGCUAGAGCCUCACCCUGGUGGGGCCCCACCUCUGGGAAGCCCCAGCGCCUGCAAGAUUUUUUCCUCUCGUGACAGGGAGCAGCAUGCAGAGGGCCCUUGCACAACCUGGGUCUUCUGGAAGUUCCAUGCCCAGGUAUUGGCCCAGCUGUCCUCAUGGUUCCAAGAAGGCUGCCCCAGGAAGGCUUGUGGACAGAGGGAGAAGCAUCUCUUCCUCUAAGUCUCUUUUUAUCUAAGAAACCAGUUUGACCAGCAUCCUUCCCUUCGGCUCUCUGGGAGGAAUGCAUGGAUCCCUUCGCCUUCCCCCAUCCCUCCAUGAUUGACUAAACCCACUAGGAUCCACUCUUUCGUGUGGAAAUGGGUUCAGGCCUCCCAUGAACAGCAUGAAGAUGCCCUCUGAUAUGGGUUACAUUAUGUCCCCUGCCCCUGAGACAGUAUGUUGAGUCCUAACCCUAGUAUUGCAGGAUGUGAAUUUAUUAGGACAUAGGGUCUUUAUGGAGGUCAUUAAGUUAAAUGAGGGCAUUAGGGUGGGCUGCUGUCCUGAUAUUAAGGGGAAAUUUGGGGCUGGGUGUAGUGGCUUACACCUAUAAUCCCAGUGCUUUGGGAGACCAAGGCAGGAGGAUUGCUUGAGGGCAGGAGUUCAAGGUACCGGGGAGACCCGGUAUCUAUUAAAAAAAAUCAAAAACAAAA